rnacentral:rRNA from 1 species
GAUGAACGCUAGCUACAGGCUUAACACAUGCAAGUCGAGGGGAAACGGCAUUAAGUGCUUGCACUUUUUGGACGUCGACCGGCGCACGGGUGAGUAACGCGUAUCCAACCUUCCCAUGACUAAGGGAUAACCUGCCGAAAGGCAGACUAAUACCUUAUGGUCUUCACUGACGGCAUCAGAUGUGAAGUAAAGAUUUAUCGGUUAUGGAUGGGGAUGCGUCUGAUUAGCUUGUUGGCGGGGGUAACGGCCCACCAAGGCAACGAUCAGUAGGGGUUCUGAGAGGAAGGUCCCCCACAUUGGAACUGAGACACGGUCCAAACUCCUACGGGAGGCAGCAGUGAGGAAUAUUGGUCAAUGGGCGAGAGCCUGAACCAGCCAAGUAGCGUGCAGGAUGACGGCCCUAUGGGUUGUAAACUGCUUUUGUAUGGGGAUAAAGUCAAUCACGUGUGAUUGUUUGCAGGUACCAUACGAAUAAGGACCGGCUAAUUCCGUG